GACGAACGCUGGCGGCGUGCCUAACACAUGCAAGUCGAACGAGGUCCAGGGGAGCUUGCUCCCUGACGACCUAGUGGCGAACGGGUGAGUAACACGUGAGAAACCUGCCUCGGAGUGGGGAAUAACUCGGGGAAACUCGAGCUAAUACCGCAUACCUUCACAUGAUCGCAUGGUCGAGUGAAGAAAGAAUUUCGCUCUGAGAGGGUCUCGCGGCCUAUCAGCGUGUUGGUGGGGUAACGGCCUACCAAGGCAACGACGGGUAGCUGGUUUGAGAGAACGAUCAGCCACACUGUGACUGGGACACGGCCCAGACUCCUACGGGAGGCAGCAGUGGGGAAUCGUGCGCAAUGGGCGAAAGCCUGACGCAGCAACGCCGCGUGCGGGAUGACGGCCUUCGUGGUUGUAAACCGCUUUCAGCAGGGACGAAAUUGACGGUACCUGCAGAAGAAGCCCCGGCUAACUACGUGCCAGCCGCCGCGGUAACAC
rnacentral:rRNA from 1 species